rnacentral:lncRNA from 1 species
UUGUUGAUUUUUGUGUUUGUUUGUUAUGCUGUGUUGUGUGGGAUUUUUGUUAUUCUUUUUGCUUUGUUGUGGUGGUGAUUUCGUUUUUUAUAUAUCGUUUGAGAUUUUUGUUAUUCUUUUUUGUUUGUUGUGGUGGUGAUUUCGUUUUUCAAAUUCCAGGGUGGAAAAAUUCACACUACUGCUUGGAAGCAGCUGCUAUACCUGUUUCAGAGGAAGUUGGAGGAAAGGCUUGUCUAUGUUUUGUUUGUGGUUGAUGCCAAGGUGUGUAUUGUUUUUACAAUUUUUAUCCUUAUUUAUUCUUUCUCCUUCUCAUUAGAUUUUGUGUGUUUUGGUUGUUUGGUCGUUUAAUUGAAGGGUUCAUUUGUGAUUUUUUUAUUUUUUUUUCUUUUGCAGGAUUUGAUUUUAAUUCUUUGUUUCAUUUCAAGGUUUGAACUUAUUUCUUGUUUUAUUUGUGAUUCUAUUUUGUAUAUUUUGUAUCUUGUUUCUUUUUCAUCUAACAAUGGAGUNNNNNNNNNNNNNNNNNNNNNNNNNNNNNNNNNNNNNNNUUCAUCUACCAUAUGCUUAUGAUAAAAUAAAUAUUUACAAAACUUGGGUUGAAGAAUACGAUUGUGAGGAUGGUGUUAGAUUCCAGGUAUGGUUCUGGAUGUAUGUUCUGCAUAUAUACAGGGAUUUUGAUAAAUUGGGUUGAAGGACUCGGUUAUGUGAUUAGCUUAUGAUCUCUAUCUCUUGGUUAAACCAUUUAAAUACUUUACUUGUCUUUUUCUGUAUGCUAAUGAUCUUAUUACGUAACUAAUUGCAGGCCUCUUCCUUUGUAUGAUUGCCGCUUAACUGGUGCAAGUAUUCAGGUAUUUGGCAUGCAUCGUUAUGCAGUUGCAGAAUUUAGGUAAACUGCUAGGGUUAAGUGGCAGAUAUGCAAGCUGCGCACUGUAACAAUGUUGUUCCAAUUCAGUGCAAUGUAGUGUUUACCAUAAAAAAAGAAAGUAAUUGGUUCAAUUCAGUGUUGUAGUUUAUUUGAACCUGGCAAGCAAAAUGUGUUUAUUUUUUUGCUCAAUUAGAUUCUAAGGUGUUUGUUUAUUCUUAAAAUCAACGUGACUCAUAAAAUUAUGCCAAAAAAACAAGAAAGUGUGAAAGAUUGGCAUACUGAUUUACUUGCUUGUUGUUCUGAACCUUAUUUUUUAUGUACUUUCCUGUUAAUUUGAUUUUCUUUAGUUAUGUGAGUAAUUAAAGAAUAUUUUCAUCUUAGAUAAUAUAAGUAUAUAAUUUGAUUUGUAGGUAUAAAGACAUUCUUGUAUCCAUGUGGGACAUUCUUGAUGAUGUUUUCACUAUUGGUCCACUUCCUAUUUUAUGUUCUCAUAAACAUAGUAUGCAGUCAAUACAAAGUGUAGCUGGAGUUGUAGAUGCUCAUGUAUUUUAUAGAAAGAUCAUGAUUAAUUUAGUUAUAAUUGAUUGGGAAUUUGUUAUAGUGUUGAUAUUCUUAGAUGUGUUGUUGAAAGCUUACUUUUUGAGAUCAAUGAUCUACCAAAUGUUUGCUUUUGUUUUUAAAACACUUUGACACCAUUAAAUAUGCUUUUGCAGGGUGUCCCCCCCCUCCGCCCCUCUUUUUGCAACCAUGGUUGAUCCUUAUUUUGAUAGUUUGAAGGAUGCAGAUGCUGUGGUACCUAGAUUUUAAGCUUGGAAUAAACUUGACCCUGCUGGAGCAUCACUCGACACUAGCCAAUUGCAAAGCACAAAUUAAAUUUGAUUUUGGUUAUUAUAAUUUGUUCAUACAUUUGGUUUUUCCUUUUAUAUGGCUUUGAAAUGUACAUUGUUGUUUGACCUCUUAAUUAAAUGUAUCUUUAGAGUGCUGAAUCAAUAUCAUUGAUGCUAAUGAAGAGGUUUUUAAAUCAUUACAGUUCAAAUGUGUCAUGGAAUUUAGAACAUGACAAGAGUUCAUUGAAACCAUUCAUUAGUUCUUUGUUCUUGAUGGCAAAGGCUAAAUUUGUGAAGAAUAAUAGAGUCAAGUGUGUGGGUUUGACUUCUUAACAUUUGUGAGUUGAAUUAGAAAUAGUCAAAUAGCUACACAGAAGACAUUGUAGUC